rnacentral:rRNA from 1 species
UACGUAGGGUGCGAGCGUUGUCCGGAAUUAUUGGGCGUAAAGAGCUCGUAGGCGGUGUGUCACGUCGGCCGUGAAAACCUGGGGCUUAACUCUGGGCGUGCGGUCGAUACGGGCAUCACUAGAGUUCGGCAGGGGAGACUGGAAUUCCUGGUGUAGCGGUGAAAUGCGCAGAUAUCAGGAGGAACACCGGUGGCGAAGGCGGGUCUCUGGGCCGGUACUGACGCUGAGACGCGAAAGCGUGGGGAGCGAACAGG